GUUUUUCAUCUUAUUUCAUCUUUCAUCUCAUUUCAUCUCGUCCAAUCACCGAAGUUAAGCAACGUCGAGCACGGUUAGUACUUGGAUGGGAGACCGCCUUGGAAUACCGGGUGCUGUAGGCU
rfam:Helobdella robusta unplaced genomic scaffold HELROscaffold_93, whole genome shotgun sequence.